UACGAAGGGUGCAAGCGUUGUUCGGAAUCAUUGGGCGUAAAGCGCGCGCAGGCGGAUUGAUAAGUCAGGUGUGAAAUCUCGAAGCUCAACCUCGAGAUGUCGGCGGAAACCACUUGGCUAGAGUCCGGAAGAGGAGAGUGGAAUUCCCGGUGUAGCGGUGAAAUGCGCAGAUAUCGGGAAGAACACCUAUGGCGAAGGCAGCUCUCUGGGACGGUACUGACGCUGAGACGCGAAAGCGUGGGGAGCGAACAGG
rnacentral:rRNA from 1 species